AAAAAUUAGUGUUCGCGUGUUUGUUUUCAUCGUUUUCAUAAAACUAAAGAAAACAUAAAACAUGUCCAGAUUGAAUUUAUUUCGGUCGUCUGGCUGAACAUUAUGACGGUACUGAACAUGAGGUCACAAGAGGCUCGGACCAAUCUGAACCUCCCGGGAACCAAUGGAGUAUCUGCACCCGUUGCAUAAACAGCCGCGGAAACGGACACCUUCGACAACAUCGCAAAUAAAUCCUGCCGGAUCUCCAGCUGCGACCGCUCCGACAAUAAGACACCUGUCUAGAUGUUGCAUUCCAAACCUUUUGCGGUCUACUCUAUAGGAAUACGGGAAGAAGGUGGGCUAUUUUUUUGUUGCUUCAAGCCAGCGCGCAGUCGGGACCGCAGAUACAACUGCGUCGGUGAUGUAACCGCAGCCGGUGUGCUCCUCAGUGAAGUAAACAACUCACAAUGCCACCAUCAAACAGAACUUUAGCCCCCGGACCUUCAACACAGUGAAGUGCGAAUGUUAGCCUAUAAUCUUUGAAUCAGUAUCCUUGCACCGAUACCCUCCUAUCAGUAUUCAACCCCCGGACCCACCAAGUACCGUUGAGGAACUACCGACACCCGUGAUUAAACACACCCAUGUACAAGCAGCAAACCUGAGUAUCCGGAAGCACUCCUACCACGGUGUAAUUUCCGGCUCCUGCAGUUAUAUGAGCGAACUUAUGUUGGUGCAGACUAUAGAUAGUAGAAUCUAUAGAUGAGCGAAAGCAUGGCUGAGUCGAUUUUUUUGCCCGUGCACACGCGCAUUUGACGUCACAGCCCUUAACGUUUCCAUUGAAAUCGUGACCAGGCCUGGGAAUUGUCGCGUUUGUCAGUGACACCUGACAAGAUACAUAAAAACAUGGUCAGUCAAAAAAAACUUGUCAACUUCCAGUUUUCCGUCGCACGACUGGAUCCCCACGACCAGAUGACAACUUUUUCCAACCGCGACAAUUUGCUUUUGUUGUAUGUCUUGUUAGAGCACACAUCUGCGACAAAAGUUUAACAACGCAUGCACUUUCGGCUCUGUGCACGACACAACAUUAAUCCCGAAAGUAAGUUAUGUCGCAUCUUCUGGUUGUCCAUCUGCGUGGAGGAGCAAUAGCAGCGGACAAAUUUGAAAUAUCAUACUGAAAAGAGCACUUUAUAAUUAAUUAUUUCUUUGUUCUCUUGACAGAUUUUCUGUUUAGAAAUAAGACAUUUUAUUCAAUUGUUGCGUUGUUACGUACAUAAUAAUACAUAAAAAAAACAAGUGUCUCUUGCACAGAGAAAGAUCCCCCAGUGUA